GCGGGGGUGCCCGAGCUAGGUCAAAGGGGGUAGGCUCAGGACCAUUAGGUGAGACCCCUACUGGAGUAGUCCUGCGCGGGUUCAAAUCCCGCCCCCCGCA
rnacentral:tRNA from 1 species